rnacentral:rRNA from 1 species
UACGGGGGGGGCAAGCGUUGUUCGGAAUUACUGGGCGUAAAGGGCUCGUAGGCGGCUAACUAAGUCGGAUGUGAAAUCCCUCAGCUUAACUGGGGAACUGCGUCUGAUACUGGAUGGCUUGGAUUUGGGAGAGGGAUGCGGAAUUCCAGGUGUAGCGGUGAAAUGCGUAGAUAUCUGGAGGAACACCGGUGGCGAAGGCGGCAUCCUGGACCAACAUUGACGCUGAGGAGCGAAAGCCAGGGGAGCAAACGGG